GGUUCCUUAGCUCAGUCGGGAGAGCGCUUGCUCGACAUGCAAGAGGUCACUGGUUCGAGCCCAGUAGGAACCAUCA
rnacentral:tRNA from 1 species